rnacentral:rRNA from 1 species
UCAAGAAACUUCCACAAUGGGCGAAAGCCUGAUGGAGCGACGUCGCGUGAUGGACGAAGUGCUUCGGCACGUAAACAUCUUUUUAUGUGGGACGAAAUUAUUGACGGUACCACAUGAAUAAGGGGCUCCUAACUCUGUGCCAGCAGGAGCGGUAAUACAGAGGCCCCAAGCGUUAUCCGGAAUCACUGGGCGUAAAGGGUGUCGAGGCGGUCAUGUUAGUCGUUCGUAAAAUCCGUGGGCUCAACCUACGGCCGGCGAGCGAAACGGCAUGACUUGAGGUUGGGAGAGGUGCAUGGAACUCACGGUGUAGGGGUGAAAUCCGUUGAUAUCGUGGGGAACACCAAAGGCGAAGGCAGUGCACUGGCCCAAAUCUGACGCUCACACACGAAAGCUAGGGUAGCGAACGGGAUUAGAUACCCCUGUAGUCCCUGAGCGGGCUGGCAAGGCGCAU